GACGAACGCUGGCGGCGUGCCUAAUACAUGCAAGUAGAACGCACAGUUUAUACCGUAGCUUGCUCCACCAUAAACUGUGAGUUGCGAACGGGUGAGUAACGCGUAGGUAACCUGCCUGGUAGCGGGGGAUAACUAUUGGAAACGAUAGCUAAUACCGCAUAAUAUUAAUUAUUGCAUGAUAAUUGAUUGAAAGAUGCAAUUGCAUCACUACCAGAUGGACCUGCGUUGUAUUAGCUAGUAGGUGAGGUAACGGCUCACCUAGGCGAGGAUACAUAGCCGACCUGAGAGGGUGAUCGGCCACCCUGGGACUGAGACACGGCCCAGACUCCUACGGGAGGCAGCAGUAGGGAAUCUUCGGCAAUAGACGAAAGUCUGACCGAGCAACGCCGCGUGAGUGAAGAAGGUUGUCGGAUCGUAAAGCUCUGUUGUAAGAGAAGAACGGGUGUGAGAGUGGAAAGUUCACACUGUGACGGUAUCUUACCAGAAAGGGACGGCUAACUACGUG
rnacentral:rRNA from 1 species